UACGUAGGGUGCGAGCGUUGUCCGGAAUCAUUGGGCGUAAAGAGCGUGUAGGCGGCCCGAUAAGUCCGCUGUGAAAGUCCAGGGCUCAACCCUGGAAUGCCGGUGGAAACUGUCGGGCUAGAGUUCGGAAGAGGUGAGUGGAAUUCCUGGUGUAGCGGUGAAAUGCGCAGAUAUCAGGAGGAACACCAAUGGCGAAGGCAGCUCACUGGGACGAUACUGACGCUGAGACGCGAAAGCGUGGGGAGCAAACAGG
rnacentral:rRNA from 1 species